CAGCUCUGGCUCUUCAAACUACAGGGAUGGAGGCUAAACAUACGUUGCGGAGGCGCUCGACGGGCACCUCGUCUGAUCUCCACUGGUUCUUACAGGAAAUCUGCUCAGUCGUCCCUUAUCACGCGUCCCCGUCCGCCUGAACGCUGCGUCUUCGCUGCGUCUUCGCUGCGUCUUCGCUGCGUCCUCACUGCGUCUUCGCUGCGUCUUCGCUGCCUUUUUCCUGCGUCUUCACUGCGUCUUUGCUGCCUUUUUGCUGCAUCUUCACUGUCUUUUUGCUGCGUCUUCGCUGCAUCUUCGCUGCGUCUUCGCUGCAUCUUCGCUGCCUUUUUGCUGCGUCUUCACUGCGUCUUCGCUGCGUCUUCACUGCGUUUUUGCUGCCUUUUUGCUGCGUCUUCGCUGCGUCUUCGCUGCGUCUUCGCUGCAUCUUCACUGAGUCUUCGCUGCGUCUUCGCUGCGUCUUCGCUGCGUCUUCGCUGCCUUUUUGCUGCCUCUUCACUGCGUCUUCACUGCGUCUUCGCUGCCUUUUUGCUGCGUCUUCACUGCGUCUUCGCUGCGUCUUCACUGCGUUUUUGCUGCGUUUUUGCUGCCUUUUUGCUGCGUCUUCGCUGCGUCUUCACUGUGUCUUCGCUGCCUUUUUGCUGCGUCUUCGCUGCCUUUUUGCUGCGUCUUCACUGCGUCUUUGCUGCCUUUUUGCUGCGUCUUCGCUGCAUCUUCGCUGCGUCUUCGCUGCAUCUUCGCUGCCUUUUUGCUGCGUCUUCACUGCGUCUUCGCUGCGUCUUCACUGCGUUUUUGCUGCCUUUUUGCUGCGUCUUCGCUGCCUUUUUGCUGCGUCUUCGCUGCGUCUUCACUGCGUCUUUGCUGCCUUUGUGCUGCGUCUUCGCUGCCUUUUUGCUGCGUCUUCGCUGCCUUUUUGCUGCGUCUUCACUGCGUCUUCGCUGCCUUUUUGCUGCGUCUUCGCUGCGUCUUCGCUGCAUCUUUGCUGCGUCUUCGCUGCGUCUUCGCUGCAUCUUCGCUGCCUUUUUGCUGCGUCUUCGCUGCAUCUUCGCUGCCUUUUUGCUGUGUCUUCACUGCGUCUUCGCUGCGUCUUUGCUGCCUUUUUGCUGCGUCUUCACUGCGUCUUCGCUGCGUCUUUGCUGCCUUUCUGCUGCGUCUUCACUGCCUUUUUGCUGCGUCUUCGCUGCGUCUUCACUGCAUCUUCGCUGCCUUUUUGCUGCGUCUUCGCUGCGUAUUCACUGCGUCUUUGCUGCCUUUCUGCUGCGUCUUCACUGCGUCUUCGCUGCGUCCUCGCUGCGUCUUCACUGUGUCUUUGCUGUCUUUUUGCUGCAUCUUCACUGCCUUUUUGCUGCGUCUUCGCUGCGUCUUCGCUGCAUCUUCGCUGCUUUUUUGCUGCGUCUUCACUGCGUCUUUGCUGCGUCUUUGCUGCCUCUUUGCUGCUCCAGUCUGUUUGCGUGUGCGACUGUGCACGAAGGCCGCCGCAUCCUGAAGCUGAUGAAUACUUUCCGCUUGUUUGCCGCUCCUUCGUCGGAGCUCUGGGAAAAAAGGCCCGGACGGCACUUCCUCAGCAAGGUCAAGAGUCUCUGUGUGUUUAUGUGUGAGAGGGAGGAGAAUUUACACUUCACAGCACAUCAGACUCUGAGAAUUAUGACUUAUUCAUCCCCCGUGAUGGAGCCGCUGCCUGUGAGAGCCCUCUGCGUCCCAGCUGCCUUUGAUAGAUGUGUAUCUUCACACUGUCAGAUCUUUGUUCCUGCUGCUCACGUACGUCUGCGUCCCGGCCGUAGAUCUGGAUCAGGACCCGCUCUGACAGACCACGCUUCCGCCGCCGCGCUGGAGUCGACUGAUGAUGCGGCAGAUUUGCUGCGAGGUGAAAGGUGACCGGCGUCCGAUCUGGACCCGCUCGUUCCCACGCUGCUCUCCUGUCCCGACAGGAACCGAGUCCACCACACAAGACUCAGACUCCGAACUCGGCCAAUGUCAACUCUUUUUUUUACCCGUGGACUUCAUGACUGGCUGUGAAACCCUCUCGGCCGACCAGCUUGCACGCUCAAUCAAUUUCCAACUGAUGAAGCAUAACAUGAGAUUGAGUCAAAGCCGGGACAAAGGAGCGGAUUCAGGCAUAUGUGGGUCAGAGAGCCGGCCGGUUGUUAGAGCCGGAGAUCUACAGUAAUUGGUGUGAGAUAUCAGCCCUGGCUGUGGGAGCGUGCCAAGGCGCUGGGGUAAUGAGCGCCGGCCACUCACAGUGAAUGGGAGCUGUAGGUGGGAGGCGGAGGACGGAUCCAAAGCCCAGUCGGCCCAAAUUGUUCGGUGAGGGAGAAGCUUCCAAAAUAAAAACAAAUUAAAACUACUUGAACUGCUGAAA
ensembl:lncRNA